rnacentral:rRNA from 1 species
UACGUAGGGUGCGCGCGUUAAUCAGAAUUACUGGGCGUAAAGCGUGCGCAGGCGGUUUUGUAAGACAGAUGUGAAAUCCCCGGGCUUAACCUGGGAACUGCAUUUGUGACUGCAAGGCUAGAGUACGGCAGAGGGGGGUAGAAUUCCACGUGUAGCAGUGAAAUGCGUAGAGAUGUGGAGGAAUACCGAUGGCGAAGGCAGCCCCCUGGGAUAACACUGACGCUCAUGUACGAAAGCGUGGGUAGCAAACAGG